UGAGACAGGAGAAUUGCUUGAACCCAGGAAGUGGAGGUUACAGUGAGCCGAGAUCGCGCCACUGCACUCCAGCCUGGGUGACAGAGCGAGACUCCAUCUCA
ensembl:miRNA